AUGAACGCUGGCGGCGUGCCUAAUACAUGCAAGUCGAGCGCACGGACGAGAAGCUUGCUUCUCUGAUGUUAGCGGCGGACGGGUGAGUAACACGUGGAUAACCUACCUAUAAGACUGGGAUAACUUCGGGAAACCGGAACUAACACCGGAUGAUAUUUUGAACCGCAUGGUUCAAAAGUGAAAGACGGUCUUGCUGUCACUUAUAGAUGGAUCCGCGCUGCAUUAGCUAGUUGGUAAGGUAACGGCUUACCAAGGCAACGAUGCAUAGCCGACCUGAGAGGGUGAUCGGCCACACUGGAACUGAGACACGGUCCAGACUCCUACGGGAGGCAGCAGUAGGGAAUCUUCCGCAAUGGGCGAAAGCCUGACGGAGCAACGCCGCGUGAGUGAUGAAGGUCUUCGGAUCGUAAAACUCUGUUAUUAGGGAAGAACAUAUGUGUAAGUAACUGUGCACAUCUUGACGGUACCUAAUCAGAAAGCCACGGCUAACUACGUG
rnacentral:rRNA from 1 species